CCUACGGGAGGCAGCAGUCGAGAAUCAUUCACAAUGGGGGAAACCCUGAUGGUGCGACGCCGCGUGGGGGAAUGAAGGUCUUCGGAUUGUAAACCCCUGUCAUGUGGGAGCAAAUUAAAAAGAUAGUACCACAAGAGGAAGAGACGGCUAACUCUGUGCCAGCAGCCGCGGUAAUACAGAGGUCUCAAGCGUUGUUCGGAAUCACUGGGCGUAAAGCGUGCGUAGGCUGUUUCGUAAGUCGUGUGUGAAAGGCGCGGGCUCAACCCGCGGACGGCACAUGAUACUGCGAGACUAGAGUAAGGGAGGGGGAACCGGAAUUCUCGGUGUAGCAGGGAAAUGCGUAGAUAUCGAGAGGAACACUCGUGGCGAAGGCGGGUUCCUGGACAUUAACUGACGCUGAGGCACGAAGGCCAGGGGAGCGAAAGGGAUUAGAUACCCUAGUAGUC
rnacentral:rRNA from 1 species